UACGAUAGGGUGCAAGCGUUAAUCGGAAUUACUGGGCGUAAAGCGGUGCGCAGGCGGGUUGUUGCAAGACAGACUGGUGAAAAUCCCCCGGGCUCAACCUGGGAAUUGCAUUUGUGACGUGCGACGGCUAGGAGUGUGUCAGAGGGGGGUAGAAUUCCACGUGUAGCAGUGGAAAAUGCGUAGAGAUGUGGAGGAAUGACCCGAUGGCGAAGGCAGCCCCCUGGGAUAACACUGAACGCUGCUAGGCACGAAACGCGUGGGGAGCAAACAGG
rnacentral:rRNA from 1 species